rnacentral:rRNA from 1 species
UUGACCUCGGAUCAGGUAGGGAUACCCGCUGAACUUAAGCAUAUCAAUAAGCGGAGGAAAAGAAACCAACAGGGAUUGCCCCAGUAACGGCGAGUGAAGCGGCAAGAGCUCAAAUUUGAAAGCUGGCCCCCUCGGGGUCCGCAUUGUAAUUUGCAGAGGAUGCUUCGGGAGCGGUCCCCAUCUAAGUGCCCUGGAACGGGCCGUCAUAGAGGGUGAGAAUCCCGUAUGGGAUGGGGUGCCCGCGCCCGUGUGAAGCUCCUUCGACGAGUCGAGUUGUUUGGGAAUGCAGCUCUAAAUGGGUGGUAAAUUUCAUCUAAAGCUAAAUAUUGGCCGGAGACCGAUAGCGCACAAGUAGAGUGAUCGAAAGAUGAAAAGCACUUUGAAAAGAGAGUUAAACAGCACGUGAAAUUGUUGAAAGGGAAGCGCUUGCGACCAGACUCGCCCGCGGGGUUCAGCCGGCAUUCGUGCCGGUGUACUUCUCCGCGGGCGGGCCAGCGUCGGUUUGGGCGGCCGGUCAAAGGCCCCUGGAAUGUAACGCCUCUCGGGGCGUCUUAUAGCCAGGGGUGCCAUGCGGCCUGCCCGGACCGAGGAACGCGCUUCGGCUCGGACGCUGGCAUAAUGGUCGUAAGCGACC